CUUCACUCUGGCUUGCUGAUAGUUUUAUCUUGCAGCAUUAUUCUGAACGUUGCUCUCAUUUGUAUAAGAUGUAAACUGACCUGUACACACUGUGCAGAUGAAAAGAACAGUGAUAUAUCAAAAGUGGAAUGGUCACGCAAGCAAUGCCAUGACGAGGACACACUGAAUUACGCUGCCCUGAACCUUAAGAAGCCAAAACCCAGGAGACAGAAGAAAGACGGGAAUAAUGACACUCUGUAUUCUGACCUCCGCUACAGAGAUUAUGAAUAAAGAUGCUUCUCAUUCAUGUCAGUCACACAGAGUGUUCAGGGUGUAGCUUUAAUAAUGUUCAGAGGAGGGCAGGGGAGCCAGUGCUUCUGAGACUGAAUCACGGGAUUUUACGGAGCACCGGUGCUGAGUUUGGUGUCAGUGUGUUUGGGGCGCAUUUUUACUGGAAGUGCAAAUGUUCAAGCCAGACUGGGGGCUGAGGGAGGGGGAGAGGGGAGCCACAGAGAUUAUUUCUUCAUGGCAUGGGGGGGAAUAAGCGGCUUUAAUGUUGUGGAAAGGCUGAGUUGCUGCAAUCAGUUCUUUGAUGUCACACAUGCUUACUUGUCUCCCUUGUGUACCAUGCUGAAUGGUUUGGGGCAAACGCACAGGGACUGAUCGAUUAUAUUAAACAGAUGAAAGAAACUGAAUGAAAAUUUCAAGUGUUCUUAAAUUACGUUUUUCAUUUAAUUGUGUGUUCUGGAUGUAUUUUUGAGUAUAUACAUGUACCUGUAUAUGUACCUGUAUAUAUACCUGUGUCGUUAAUAACGAUGUGGAUAAUUAAGAAAGAGGAGUUUUGUUUCUUGCUCCCUGUCUUGUUACUUGGCUCACAAACAUACACACACAUAGACACACACACAAACAUACACAGACACACAAACACACACACACAU